UAUGAAGCGGCAAUUCCCCGUGAUAAUUCUUUCAUUCAAGAAAGUUUAUCAUCUAAUCAUCGUAUAAGAUGAUCGGGGAAAUUUAGAUAAUAAAACUUUAAUGUCCGAAAAAAAACCCGUCUUCUUCCAAGCAUCCUGAAAAUAUAAACAAAGGAAAUAAGGAGAAUAUAAGGCCAUAUAUAACUGAUUACAUAUAUUAUUAAAAAAUAAAGGAUAAUAUGUCCAAUAAUUAAUAAUUAUUAACAUCAUGUGUAUAUCAUUCAAGUAGUGAAAAGGAAAUUAAAUAAAGUCUCAACCAAAGGUGGAUCUUUGGUGAGACACUAAUGAAUAAGAAAAUAUACUGAAGAUAUAACAUAACAAUUAUUAACAAGCCAACAAAGUAGCACAUAAUUGCAGCCGACAAAGUGGCACAUAAUUGCCUCUUACAGGCCAAAAAUACGCCAUCAAUCAUGGUCACCCAUAAAUGGUACAUAAUUAACCAUCAAUAAAGGCAUGGUUAACACACUAACCGAUUUAAAUGUGAAGCAAGACAUUUCAAAAAAUCCAAAUAAUUUCCAUUUAUACAAAAGAAUCAACUUGAAUGAGAUAAAAGAAAUUCUAAUUAAGGAAAUUAAAAAAUUUAUAUGAAGUGCUUAGAGUCUAAGAGCAUCUCCAACCAUACAAAACCCUUGGCUAAAAAAUGAGUUGGCAUUCCAAAAUUAAAAAAUAUAGCCAACGUCCUGAAAAAAUAGCACUCCAACCACACUAAUCUGUUGUCUAUAAUUUUAGCCAACCUCCUAUGGAUGGCUAUAUUUGUCGAACCUCUGCAGGUCUGUAAGAAAUCUGUAGGAAGAUUGCACAUCAUUUAUUAUUGUAUUAAACUGAUAUAUUCUAUUUUAACAAUCUAAAAUAUUAAUAACAUAUUAUUUUUAAAUUAUAGCCAACCAGUAUAACCAAUACCAUUGAAGCAAAAUGUGUUACAGGUGCAGCAAAUUUUACAUAACGUCUUACAGGUCCAAUUUAGCCAACGAUUAUAGCCAACACCGUUGGAGAUGCUCUAAGUAUAACAUCAAUCAAUAAAUUUAAUACAACAAUUAUUAAAAAGGUUAUUAUAAUGAUUACUAAAAAGGUUAAUAUCAAAAGUAAAAAAAUGAAAAAGAGUCAAUCACUGUUUAAGGAAAUAUUACAUGAUACAAUUACCCCAUAUAUCAAUCAUAAUAAUUAAAAUUAAAUGCAGAUAAUUAAAACUGAAAAUUAAAUACAAUUCUACAAAACUGAAAUCAUAAAUUAUAUCAAAAUUUUAGUCAACAAUAUUACAACCGCAAGCCACUACCGCGAACCACCGUUAGACCACCACCGUCUACCCGAUAUGUAAAAUCACGUAAAAACAACAUGUUAACACUAAAUCAAAAACCUAUAUUUGGUUGUGUCAAAAAAUUUUAUAUCUGAUCGUGGUUGCAUAGAAUUCAAUUUUACGCAAGCAAAUAUCAAAAUACAAAGGAUAUAUUUUAUGAAUAAUAAUAGUAAGAUUUGAUGCAUAUCUAUCUAAAUUAUCAAUAGAUCACGUAAAAUAAGUAUGAUUGUAAAUUAGAAAAAAGUACACCUUAAUUUUAUGGAGUAUAUUUACACAAAAUGAGUCGUUUUCAAAUAUGAUCAGUCCUUUAAAGAUGUCCUUGCAGAUGUCGGUGAGAAGCUCGAUAUCCGGAUAUUUGAUUCGGUUGAAAACACAAAUCAGUGAAGAAAACAUACUCUAAACAAUUAUAAAACAAACCGAAAUCAUGUAUACCUUGAGCAGUGAUGAGUCUGUAGGUAUGGCCCAGGAGAAGAGUGUUAGUUGGCCGCAGAAGCUUGAUACGUGUUAUACGAAGAGGCUCCCCGUGGUGGCAGCCGCCAUGAUGGUGGUCAUGGGGUUGGAGGGAGUUUGAGGGAAAAUGUUAGCCCAAAAUUCCAACACUUGCGGCCCAAAUUUUGUUUAGCAUAAAUCAAG
rnacentral:lncRNA from 1 species